rnacentral:tRNA from 1 species
GGUUGGGUUCCCGAGCGGCCAAAGGGAGCAGACUGUAAAUCUGCCGUCAUCGACUUCGAAGGUUCGAAUCCUUCCCCCACCACCA